rnacentral:rRNA from 1 species
UAAAAAUGAUGCAGGAUCGACUAUGUCGAAUAAAAUUCUAGGUAGAAUUAUGAUAAUGACAUNGUCUGCCUAUGUGUCUNGACCAAAUUACGUGCCAGCAGUCGCGGUAAUACGUAGAAGACUAGUGUUAUUCAUGUUUAAUCGGUUUAAAGGGUACCUAGACGGUAAAUCAAGCCUAAAAUUAAAUGAAGGGACUAAUUUACUAGAGUUACUUAUGAGGGGGUAUUAAAGUACUGCUGGUGUAGAGAUGAAAUUCUGUCAUACCUCUUUUCAAUAGAAAAACAAUGGCACAGGUAUAGGCGAAAGCAUCCCCUUAUGUGAUAACUGACGUUGAGGGACGAAGGCUUUGUGUAGCGAACAGGAUUAGAUACCCCAGUAGUCAAAGCAGAAAAUGAUGAAUGUCAUAGAUUAGAUAAAUAAGUUUAUUCUAUAAAUGAAAGUGUAAGCAUUCCACCUCAAGAGUAAUUUGGCAACAUUGGAACUGAAAUCAUUAGACCGUUUCUGAAACCAGUAGUGAAGUAUGUUGUUUAAUUUGAUGAUCCGCAAAAAACCUUACCACAAUUUGAAUAUUUAUAUUUUUUUAUUGUUUUCUUUUUAAUUUUCUUCUGAUUUGAUUUUUCUAAAGAAAAAAAGAAAAAGAGGCGAUAUGAUAUAUUUACAAGCGUUGCACGGCUGUCUUCAGUUAAUGUCGCGAGACUUUGGUUAGUUCCAUUAAAUUAACGUAAACCCUUACUUUAUUUUUAUAUAGAGUAGUUCCCCGCUAUAUUGGAUAUGAUAAC